rnacentral:rRNA from 1 species
UACGUAGGUGGCAAGCGUUGUCCGGAUUUACUGGGCGUAAAGGGCGUGCAGGCGGCUUGUUAAGUGCAGGGUGAAAGCUCCCGGCUCAACUGGGAGAGGUCCUUGCAUACUGGCGAGCUCGAGGGAGGCAGAGGAAAGUGGAAUUCCCGGUGUAGUGGUGAUAUGCGUAGAUAUCGGGAGGAACACCUGUGGCGAAGGCGGCUUUCUGGGCCUUACCUGACGCUGAGACGCGAAAGCGUGGGGGGCGAACCGGA